UGAAAAUGUUAUCUUUUUUUCCAUUGGAUGGU
rnacentral:piRNA from 1 species